rnacentral:rRNA from 1 species
AGAGUGAACGCUGGCGGUAGGCCCAACACAUGCAAGUCGAACGGCAGCACAGUGGUAGCAAUACCAUGGGUGGCGAGUGGCGGACGGGUGAGGAAUACAUCGGAAUCUACCUUUUCGUGGGGGAUAACGUAGGGAAACUUACGCUAAUACCGCAUACGCCCUUCGGGGGAAAGCCGGGGAUCGCAAGACCUGGCGCGGAUAGAUGAGCCGAUGUCGGAUUAGCUAGUUGGUGAGGUAAUGGCUCACCAAGGCGACGAUCCGUAGCUGGUCUGAGAGGAUGAUCAGCCACACUGGAACUGAACGACACGGUCCAGACUCCGACGGGAGCAGCUAGGUAGGGAAUGUAGGACAAGUGGGACACAAGCCU